rnacentral:misc_RNA from 1 species
UGUGGGAGCGAGCUUGCUCGCGAUGAGGGCGACACAUUCAACACUUGUGCUGUCUGACAGAUUGCUAUCGCGAGCAAGCUCGCUCCCACA